CCCGACUCUCUGACCUAGUUCUCCAGGGAAAGAGAUUCCGUGGCUUUUCUGGAGUUGAAGGGUCCACACCCCAUCCCCACCCGACUCCGGGGAAUAACACGGUCCACGAGCCUGUCACCUUCUCCACUUGCGCGGUAGAUUAUUCCCGGUUGCAAGACUUGCGGUUUCCUUGUUUGAAGCUGACGAUGAGUCCAGCCUUGGAGACUCUCCAGACGGAGCCAGAGUUGGAGCAGGAAGCGGGCCCAAGGCAGAAACGCAGUCUCGAUUACUCCAAGACAUCCUGCCUUAUGCAUUUCAAGGCCGACUACUUGUUCUACAAGAGGUUUGGGAGCUUGGAAAUGGUGGUGGCUCAGAGGGAAGCUGGGCGACUAGAAGCGAAAUAGAUUCGGACAGAUCCACGAACGAGCGGUCCCUAAGGGGUCACCAGAGAGGUAAGCGGGGG
rnacentral:lncRNA from 1 species